rnacentral:lncRNA from 1 species
GCACUAACCGAGCGCAGCAUCAGCUGCAGCAUCUCACAGUGACUGGUGCCAGGCCCGCAGCCCAGCACUCCACCUGUGGAGGCUCCUCUAGGACAGCAUUGCUGUGAGGUGGCCACAGCCAGACUCACUGAGAGUGAGAAUCUGAGGCUCCAAAGGGACAAGAGACUUGCUGAAGGACACGGAAAGGCGUCAUAACCUAGGGCUGUCUGCUGACGCCUCAAGAAGUCCCCUAAAUGACAGACCAUCCACCAAAGACACAGCUGAUUCCCAGACCCAUCCCUCAGGGCCCUAACAGAGGUCCCCCCCUUCAAGAGGCCGCUCCUGGUACCUCCAGCAGCAAGGGAGCAUGUGCUGUGCUGUGUAUGCCCUUCCUUUGUACCUGUGGACAGGCUGUUCCUGGCAGUCCUUAAAGCUCAAUGGGUAUGUGGGACCCAAUGCUUUUGAAGGCCGUGGAGCUGGCAGUCAGCCUCUUCAUUUGAACCCUGGUGAAUGAACACACCCUCAGCUUGCUCAUCUCCAUCCUCCACCACAAGAAGUCCUCUCACAUGGGUGUGCUGUGCACACUCGGCUCAUGUACUUCUUGCACGGCUCCCACCCAGAGCUGUUUCUGUCCAGCGCCUGAUGGAUCCCCUGCACCAUCUCGCUGGGCUCCCUGGAGGUCAUGAUCAUCCUGCUCCGUGUAAAGUGCAGGGAGUGUGGCUUGUCCUCCCACAUUCUCGACCCUGGCACAGAGAGUAAAGAUCCCAUGUCUGAGUGACACACGCAGAUCAGCAGUUCAGAGCACUAGAACUGGGGACACACACCUGGUCCACAUGUUGGCUCUUCCACUUAGAAACUUGAGAGUUUGGGCCAUUAAUAUAGGCACUUAGGUAUCUCC